rnacentral:rRNA from 1 species
AAAGCCUCCGGCGCCUCAGGAUGGGUCUGCGGCCUAUCAGGGUAGUAGUGGGUGUAACGUACCUACUAGCCUACGACGGGUACGCGUUGUGAGAGCAAGAGCCCGGAGAUGGAUUCUGAGACAUGAAUCCAGGCCCUACGGGGUGCAGCAGGCGCGAAAACUUUACAAUGCGGGCAACCGCGAUAAGGGGACCUCGAGUGCUGGGUUACAAACCUGGCUGUUGGGCUGCCUAAAAAGCAGUCUAUAGCAAGCCCCGGGCAAGACCGGUGCCAGCCGCCGCGGUAA